rnacentral:rRNA from 1 species
UACGUAGGUGGCGAGCGUUGUCCGGAAUUACUGGGUGUAAAGGGCGUGUAGGCGGGAUUUUAAGUCAGAUGUGAAAUUCUGAGGCUCAACCUCAGAGCUGCAUCUGAAACUGAGAUUCUUGAGUGCUGGAGAGGAUAGUGGAAUUCCUAGUGUAGCGGUGAAAUGCGUAGAUAUUAGGAGGAACACCAGUGGCGAAGGCGGCUAUCUGGACAGUAACUGACGCUGAGGCGCGAAAGCGUGGGGAGCAAACAGGAUUAGAUACCCUGGUAGUCCACGCUGUAAACGAUGGAUACUAGGUGUAGGAGGUAUCGACCCCUUCUGUGCCGGAGUUAACACAAUAAGUAUCCCACCUGGGGAGUACGGCCGCAAGGUUGAA